rnacentral:rRNA from 1 species
UACGGGGGGGGCAAGCGUUGUUCGGAAUUACUGGGCGUAAAGGGCGCGUAGGCGGCUUUUCAAGUCGGGCGUGAAAUCUCCGGGCUUAACCUGGAAGGGUCGUUCGAUACUGUCGAGCUAGAGUGUGGAAGAGGCUACUGGAAUUCCGUGUGUAGCGGUGAAAUGCGUAGAUAUACGGAGGAACACCAGCGGCGAAGGCGGGAUGAGCUGGGCCAACACUGACGCUGGAU